rnacentral:rRNA from 1 species
CCCUGGCUCAGGACGAACGCUGGCGGCAUGCCUAAUACAUGCAAGUCGAGCGGAGUUGAUGGGAAGCUUGCUUCUUUGAUACUUAGCGGCGGACGGGUGAGUAACACGUAGGCAACCUGCCCUCAAGUUUGGGACAACUACCGGAAACGGUAGCUAAUACCGAAUAAUUGUUUUCUUCGCCUGAAGGAAACUGGAAAGACGGAGCAAUCUGUCACUUGGGGAUGGGCCUGCGGCGCAUUAGCUAGUUGGUGAGGUAACGGCUCACCAAGGCGACGAUGCGUAGCCGACCUGAGAGGGUGAUCGGCCACACUGGGACUGAGACACGGCCCAGACUCCUACGGGAGGCAGCAGUAGGGAAUCUUCCGCAAUGGGCGAAAGCCUGACGGAGCAAUGCCGCGUGAGUGAUGAAGGUUUUCGGAUCGUAAAGCUCUGUUGCCAGGGAAGAACGCUUGGGAGAGUAACUGCUCUCAAGGUGACGGUACCUGAGAAGAAAGCCCCGGCUAACUA